rfam:Novosphingobium malaysiense strain MTSC 273 Contig13, whole genome shotgun sequence.
CGAGUGGGUGAAGAAGGCGGAGCUCGACCGCCCGUUCAAGCGAUGAUCGCGUUUAUCGAAGACCAGCGUGCCGUUCAUGGGGUCGAGCCGAUCUGCAAGGUGCUGCCGAUCGCCCCA